rnacentral:rRNA from 1 species
UACGUAGGGGGCUAGCGUUGCUCGGAAUCACUGGGCGUAAAGGGCGCGUAGGCGGGUCUUUAAGUCAGGGGUGAAAUCCUGGAGCUCAACUCCAGAACUGCGUUUGAUACUGGAGAGCUUGAGUCCGGAAGAGGUGAGUGGAACUCCGAGUGUAGAGGUGAAAUUCGUAGAUAUUCGGAAGAACACCAGUGGCGAAGGCGGCUCACUGGUCCGGUACUGACGCUGAGGCACGAAAGCGUGGGGAGCAAACAGG